AUGAACGCUGCCAGAAUGCUUAACACAUGCAAGUCGAUGGGGAAGUGGUGCUUGCACCAUGGUAACCAUGGCGGACGGGUGAGUAACGCGUAAGGAACUUGCCUGCGGGACUGGGAUAACAGCAGGAAACUGCUGAUAAUACCGGAUAAGGUCAUUAAGCUGCAUAGCUUAGUGAUGAAAGGAGACGCCUGCGGAGAGCCUUGCGUCCUAUUAGCUAGUUGGAGGGGUAACGGCCCACCAAGGCGAAGAUAGGUAGCCGGCCUGAGAGGGUGGACGGCCACAAGGGGACUGAGAUACGGCCCUUACUCCUACGGGAGGCAGCAGUGGGGAAUAUUGGACAAUGGGGGCAACCCUGAUCCAGCAAUUCUGUGUGCACGAAGACGGUUUUCGGAUUGUAAAGUGCUUUCAGCAGGGAAGAAGGAAGUGACGGUACCUGCAGAAGAAGCGACGGCUAAAUACGUG
rnacentral:rRNA from 1 species